rnacentral:sRNA from 1 species
UACUAUAUAAGUUGUUUUCAAGUUUCUAUACAAAUUAUAUAUUAUUUUAAUAUUUUAUGAUUAUUUAUGUUAUGUAGUCUCUUUUGUGAUUAGUAGAAUUUUUUAAAAGUAAAUAUUUUUAAUUUGCGUGUUUUUAUUUAAAACAAUUUAUAUUGUAAAACAGAUGGAAUAUUAUUAUAGGCUAUAGGCCUAUAGCUAAUGUUUGGAUCUAACUGCUAACGUUGUAAGAUUCAUAAAACACCGGCCACUUACAAUCCCACGUUUUUUUUAAAAAUAUUACGUUCUUUCCUGGAAUUACCCAUAUACACGUUUUUUUUGUUAUCUUCGUGCUCAACUGUUUACAAAAGUAUACUGUAUUCGGGAAGGUGAAAAAAGAUAAAAUUAUUUCGGAACAUCUAAUAUACUAACACAAUAAAUGAAAU